CGGUGGAGUAUGUGGUUAAUUCGAAGCAACGCGAAGAACCUUACCAGGGCUUGACAUCCUACUAACGAAGUAGAGAUACAUCAGGUGCCCUUCGGGAAAGUAGAGACAGGUGGUGCAUGGUUGUCGUCAGCUCGUGUCGUGAGAUGUUGGGUUAAGUCCCGCAACGAGCGCAACCCUUAUUGUUAGUUGCUACGCAAGAGCACUCUAGCGAGACUGCCGUUGACAAAACGGAGGAAGUGGGGACGACGUCAAAUCAUCAUGCCCCUUAUGUUCUGGGCUACACACGUGCUACAAUGGCCGGUACAGACGGACGCAAAGCCGCGAGGUGGAGCAAAUCCUAAAAAGCCGGUCUCAGUUCGGAUUGCAGGCUGCAAUUCGCCUGCAUGAAGUCGGAAUCGCUAGUAAUCGCAGGUCAGCAUACUGCGGUGAAUACGUUCCCGGGCCUU
rnacentral:rRNA from 1 species